AGUGAACGUGGACAAAAGCAAGCGGACAGGCAAGAGCGCGAGGAAAGAAGAAAGAUGGUAAAAAAAAAAGACAGAUGAACAAUGGGGCAGGAUGGACAGAGCGCGCUCACCUUUUGUCCCAUCUCUCCACUUUUAUUUAUUUACGGUCUCAUUACUGCAGCUUUCUUUUUUAGCAAUCCAUGAAGUUUAAGCAAGAGAGAGAGAGAGGGAGAAAAAGAGAGCUCGCUGAGAGAGAGAGAAAUCAACAUGGCUUUACCGCUUUCUCUAGCUCUCUUCUCCUUUCUGAGUUUCGGACAGCUCGGUGCUCCCGCAGUGCUCCCACUUGGUCAGGUCUGGACUCGCCGUGCCGUUAGAGAACAGACGGGUGGUGCGGAGAGGCUGCUGCUGCUGCUGCUGCUGUGCAGGACGUCGGCUGUUUGCUCUGAGAUUUAGGAACCUCUCUUACACACAGUUGCAGCACAAUGACUUUCUAAACCCCCACCCCCUAAAAGCAUAUUCAAAUGAAAAACUCACAGUGCUGACAAAGAAAAGGACGCCUGCCUGCUUCUAACGGCUGAGGUGCAGGCCAGCCACUACAGGCCAGACUCCACACUUUCUCCAGGCGGCGACCAGAACUAUUAAGCAUUUGUAGAGUGUGUAACAUCUGUCGAUGAAUCUGGGGAGUGUAAGUGGAAAAGAAUUCAGUAGGGAAAUGACAGCUUUGCCACUGCAGCAGACGUUUACAAUUUGCACCAGAAGUGAGGCGUGGUAAUGAAUAAAGUGGGGCUGAAAUAAAGGAGGGUAAAAG